rnacentral:rRNA from 1 species
GGUUGCAAAGACAACGAGCGAACUGUCGAAUUCGGUGCUUCGCGGCUGCUGCCGAUACCUCGACCAUCGAACGUCACAUCCGAGCGAAUGUCUCGUUAGCACGACGACUUGUCUCUCGAUAUUCGUUGCGGGGGGUUCGAGGCAGCGUCGGCGGACCGGUCUCACCGUUUCGAAUGUUUGGUGUGUCGGGAAUCGGUGCCUCGCCGGGCCUUUGUGUUUCGGCUUCCCACGCGUUCGCUUUGGUUUGUCGCAGACAUGCGGGGAUGGCGCAUCGAGGUUCCAGUUCACACCUCCGCCACAGGGGUGCAUCCGGCCCGUUGCACCGUGCCCCUCCCGCGCGGGGCUUCCGUUUGACGACCGUCAGCGGAGGCGCGGCGCGUGGGGCCGGUUCGGUUCCGUCGGAUCCCUCGGCCUCGCUCCCUCGAUGUCUCGUCCAUGCAGACGGCGGCCUCGCGGACCCGGUCGGGACCGUUGAGUAUUUCGGUCCGCUGCGUGGCCGGCAUCGUGGGGGGCAGGCUCACGGAUGGACAUAUGAGCGUCGGUGUUUUUACGGGCACCAAGGACAGAAGGGGAGUGUCCCCCGGGCUCUGUUCGGCGGGGAACGGGCGGCGCUGCACCGAAAAGCACGACUCUCGGCAACGGAUAUCUCGGCUCUCGCCACGAUGAAGAACGCAGCGAAAUGCGAUACUUAGUGUGAAUUGCAGAAUCCCGUGAAUCAUCGAUUCUUUGAACGCAAGUUGCGCCUUGGGCCUCGGCCAAGGGCACGUCUGCUUGGGCGUCGCAUUCAAUUAAAAGCGCCCUUGUCCGUGCUCGGGCAUUGGAGCGGAGCUGGCCGUCUGCGCCUCCCCUGGCUCGGUUGGCUAAAACGGUUUUUGGAUUCCCGUCGUCUCGCACUGGUGAGCGGUUGUCUGGCUGCCUCCGGGGAAUAGGCCCGCGCGGGCCAGUGCGGGAAGCGGGCGGUGUUUCCCUUGCGGCCCCUCCGCCUGUCGCGCCGCGGUUCUCCGACGUCGUGCUUACAGGCCCAUUUCAUGCGACCCC